rnacentral:lncRNA from 1 species
GGAAGUCAACAACCCGGAGAUCAUGGUGCUGGGCAGGCCACUAGCUGACCCCCGUCCACCGUCCCAGAAGGGCUCAGCCUUCUGGCCGUCUGCUCCCAGCCGUCCCCUGCAGAGUAAAGGCCUCUUGGACUUUCCAGCCCAGCCAUCCGGGAGCUGCCACCACCCACGUGGUAAGAGAAGCCCCCCUCCCCCCCAGACACGCCCAACUUCCUCACCUACAGAAUCAGUGACAUCUGAGACAGAUGACUGUUUCAAGCCUGUGUGCUCUCGGGUGGUCGGGGAGGCAGCAGUGAUAUCGGGAGCGGGAACGGUGUUACCUGUAGCUUGUGGCUCUAAUUUGCAUGUCUGUGAUUACUAACCAAGUCACACAGUCGCCCAAGAGGUUGUUUACUAUGUCUGUCUCCCCCCCCCCGGAGCUGCCUGCCUGCCCGCUGGGGGAACCCCGCCACGGUUCAGUUCCCAAGAAACGGGCUUGACUUGUCCUUGCGGGGGAGUAGACAGAUCUGUGCGAGUGCAGUCUUUUGCUCCAUUCACCCCUCCAGCCACAGUUCUUGACGUUCUGGGUACCUACAGCGUGCGGGGUCAUGUGCUAGAGGCCGGGGGUACAGCACCGAGCGGCCCAACGCCAUUCUCAAGGGCCCGGAAUCUGGCCGAGGGCGAUAACUCAAGUCCGGCUGUGUGGUUAGGGACGCAGGGGCCCGGGGGAUGGGCAGACAGCCCCUGGCUGGGGAGGGAAGGAGAAAGUAGGGGGCUGUUUGUUUCGCAGACACGCAUUUUCUGGGAUAGCUGUUACAAAAAGUGGAGUCCCACAUCAUUCUAGUUGUCUGUUUUGGCUUAACAAACUCCCCCAAGCUCCGUGACUUCUGUGGACUGCCUUGCGCCGUCCCAAAAUCCGUAUGUAGAAGCCCUAAGCCCCAGCGCGACCCCGUCUGGAGAUCAUCUGUAGGGGGUAUCCCGCAACCCUGGGGGUCACACUCUGGUGUCACCCGGGCCCCCGUUCUAUCGGCUGGAAGGCACUCACUAAGUCUGGUCCUCUUCAGAGGGAGGGAACCAGACGUCCCCCUCUCCAGGGAAGGAGAUUCAAUGUGAGAGGGAUGUCCUAAAGUUUGUGGAUGUUUUUAAGCCACACGCUUGAGCAGAGACCAAGAGCCUGGACCACAGAGCAGGCAGGACCCAGUCGGUGCCUCCUUGAGUCGCCCCACGCCUACAACUCAGCGUUGUAGCGGACAUCUCCAACGCAGGGGUCCUCCACCGGAGACCGCGGUGCACCAUUCUACGUACAGCUUCUGCAAGCAGGGAUGAUUGACGUCAGUGGCAUCUCAUGUAUUUCUUUUUUUUUUUUUUCUUUCUCGUUGAGGGUCUUCAGAAGCGACCCUCCAGCCCUCCUCCAGCCUCUAGCAGGAAUGUUACUGAGUAGCAGGUGUAUACUUUCCUUAGGAAAACAAACACGAGAGGAGCGUUGUGUUUGUUAUUUUCUUUUAAUUGAAAUAAAUUAACCAUGUUCAAGUGUAUAAAUGAAACAUUCAAGGGGAGCCUGGGUGGCUCAGUCUGUUAAGUGUCAGACUUCAGCGCAGGUCAUGAUCUCACGGUUUGAGGGUUCGAGCCCCACGUGGGGCUCUGUGCUGACAGCUGGGAGCCUGGAGCCUGUUUCCGAUUCUGUGUCUCCCCCUCUCUCUGCCCCUCCCCCGCUCAGGCUCUGUCUCUCUCUCUCUCUCUCUCCCAGAAGUAAACAAACAUUAAAAAAGUUUAAUGAAACAUUAAAAUAACCACCUUGAAAUGUACGAUUCGGUGGCAUUUAGACCAUUCUAAGUGCUGGGCAACCUCGACUCCUGUCUAGUUCCGAAAUAUUUCCAUCGGCCCUAAAGGAAACCCCAUCCCCAACGGACGGUCCCCACCCAACUUCUUUGGACCCGCUUCUUCUGGACAAUUCAUGUAACUGGAAUCACGCCCCAAGUAUGUGGCUUCUCUCCCUGAGCAUCACGUUUCCAAGAUGUAUCUACAUUGUAUCGUGUGUGAGUGCUUGGUGCAUUUUUGUGGCUGAGUAAUAUUCCGGCGUAGGGAUGGACCACAUUUUGUCUCUCCACUCAUCUGCUGAUGGAUAUUUGGGUUGUUUCCACCUUUUGCCUGUUAGGACUAGUGCUGCAAUGAUAAGAAUUUGUUUGAAUCUGUUUCCAAUGUUUUUUGUUUUGUUUUUUUUAAAGUGGCCUCACGCCCAGCAUGGAGCCCAACGCAGGGCUUGAACUCAAGACCCUGAGAUCAAGAUCUGCGCUGAGAUCAAGAGUCAGAUGCUUAACCACCUGAGCCACCCAGGCGCCCCUCAGUUCUCUCGGGUAUAAAUCUAGGUGUGGAAUUGCCAGAUUAUAUGCUAAUUCUACGUUUUAACUCUUUGAGGAACCAUCAAGCUGUUUUCG